rnacentral:sRNA from 25 species
CUUUAACUUUUCAGAUUCAAUAUAUUGCCCGCAAAAAUAUGCCUCAAUGAUUUAGCCAGGCAACCAAUCACCUCCAGAUGAUUAUAUAUACGAAUUACUACUCAAAAAAUCUUUUUUAUAAUAAAAGCUCAACACAUGGUCAUAAAUGAUAAAAAAUAUU